GUGUGCUGUAAGGAAGCCAAAGAUGCAGCUUCUGAUUUGAAGUUUUCAAUCAACGCUGGAGACGAAUCUUCACGAAGUGUCCUUAUUGCUACUGGAACAACUACCCCUUGAGGAUAGUGGAUAAGUUUACCCUGUUUUUCAGAGAUAACAUCGGACAGUUGAUUCAAUUGGUUUGAAGGAGUUGGACUUUGAGGAUUUACUGUCUCGGAGUAACGAUUAGGAUCAUAUUCAACCCACAAUGGAGCAGGACUUCGUUUACAUAAAACAGGAGAAAUAGGUGAAGAGUAUUGAGCAGUUCGAAGUGCUGUUGUCAUGUAACUGGCAACACUUGAUUUACGGUUUAAAACUUGACGAUAGAUGAUCACAAUGAAUAUUAUCAAGAAACCACAAAUGGCUGCCAAUAUUGGUGUUAGUAGGAAAUAUAGACGGCACCAUGGUUGAGCUUCAAUUCCAUCAGGAUUUCGGCAAUAAUUAUGGCCUCCAAUCAAUUCUUCAUAGUGAAUUGUAUUAUAACCAACGCUCCAAGGAAGGCAUUUGCGUCCAGAAGUACUGUGAUCAACUAUUCCACGAUACUCUCGUCCAUUUUCACUGAAGCAUACUUGAGCAUCUAGAUGAAUAUAGACAGAAAAGGAAUUAAUCAAUAAAACCAAUAUAAGAAUAAAAAGGUCACUAUUUGCUAAACUAUAAUGAGCUUCUGAAGAAGUUUUAUCAAUAUCAUAGAAAUGUUCAACAAGCAACUUAUUUGAUGACGAUGUCAACAAGAAAAUCAAGUUUAUGUUACAGUAUUAUUGGAAUAAUAUGCUCAACAUUUUAUCAUGAAACUUUUCACCAUCAUCAUCUCAUUCUGUAUUGCAAAAAUGUGUGGUUACCCUUAAUAGUUGAAAGAUAUAAACUUGACUGUUUAUAUUAAAGAUUCCGUAAAGAUUUGAAUUUUUUACUCAAAAUUUAACUCUAACUCCCUUUUUUCUGCAAUUUCCUCAGGCUAUUACUAUCAAUUUCAACUGUACUCUUGAGACGAAACCAUUUGACAAGAGCAUAACCUUUUUACAUGGAGUAAAGAAAUCCAGCCAAGAUUGAUGCAUUUUUUUCUUGUUCAAGCAUUUCUAGUUACUCAUUAUACAGGGUUGCAACCAGAUACAUGGAGUGGGUUCAGAAAACUAUGACCAUAAAUGAAAUUAACUCAAUUUCUUAACCUCAGGAAAUGAAGUUAACAAGUAUUUAAAGCUGGUUGAAUAAUUUGCCAUCAGUUUGAUCUACAAAAUGACUUCACAUCUCAGCGUUUAUAAUACAACAAGAAUUUGGUUUGAAAGUGUUUUAAAUUUCUCAAUUUAAUCUAUACAUUUUGGCUGCCUUGUUCAGAGUUUGUUGGAAAAUUUCAACAGAGGCUGACUUUUGGUGAUAUCAGUUUCAAAAAAUAUUCAUGUAAAUAUUGUAUGUUUACUGAAGAAAGGGAAACGAGUAAAAAAAUCUCACCAAAGCCAAUAUCGAAAUCAAAAAUAUCAAAACAAAUCAAAUAAUCUCCAAGGGUAUUAUUAGCAGUAAAAAUGCAAUUUCAUAUCAAGUUUCUCGUUUUAAUGUAAUAACCAUGAAAUGAGCAUUUUUUUCUCCGACACUAAUAUUUUCUUAUUUUUCUUUCUCAACAAAAUUCAGGGGCAAUUUGGGAACAUGAGUUUAAAAUGACUCGGAAAAGAUGAAUCGUUCAAAUAAAGUGAUAAAAAGGAUGGAAGAUUAAAUUUUGUUUUUCAUACCUUUAAGAGGACGAACUGAAGAUGGCACUCCAAGUUGAACACAUUCAGAAUCACCAGGAGCUCCAAGAAUGGGUAAAUUUGUACACUUGGGCAACAAAUUGGCGUUAAUUACUGGUAUAUUUCGAGCCAUUGAAUACUCUUUUCGGCAUAUUGAACUUUCCAAGAUUUCACAUUCAUCUCGACAAAUCUGGUAAUAAUGAUUGGAGGUGAGGACAAAAGAGCCACAAAAGUAAUGAAAAAGAUGAAUUAUUAUGUGAAAUUUAUAAUAUAUUUGUUAUCAAAGGCCAGAUUUGAAUCAGAUGCUUUGAUAGUCACAGGGUUUAGAUAAGGUAAAAUGCCCGUGAAAACCUGAAAAACAUUUAACAUUGAUUCCUCUGGUGAAUCCUCUAAAUUAUAUCAAUUCAUUUUAUUGUGGCCAUUGCAGCAGCAUUGGAGUUAUAUCUCUCCUCGAUUAACUGGCUGGAUCAAGAAUGUAUUAAGCUGGACCAUGGUUGGAACCAAGAAUUCCAAGUUUCUACUCGUUGGAUUGACUGUGCAAAAAUAAUGCAGUUCAAUAGAUUCUAGACUAAUACUGGUUUAAAAUGAAGUCUACUUUGGUUGUUCUUGUCCAAGACUUAAGAUCUCCAUCGUUUCUACCCUAAUAACCAGGAUUAUUCUUGUCACAAUAUGCUUUCCAUCUUAACAACAAGUGUUCCUACAUUCCAUGUUACUGUUUACUCUCAAGUCUGAUGAUUGAAUGGACUUUAAUAUAUUUACGUACUCCAUGUGAUCCAGGAAAUCUGUCUUCACUCAUGAUGUACACUUUUGGAGUAUUAGACAAUAUUUACAAGGGAUUUAAAGACAAGUUGUUAAUCACUAACCUUUCGUAUUCCCAAUUGGCCUGAUGGUUCAGUGCGGCAAACAGGAAAAUUAUAAAAGCAAACGGAUGAUAUUGCAAAUCGGUGGCAUUGAUGUGAAAUUUGGUGUGAUGUUGCUAUCAUUUCAAAGAGAACAGCCAAAUUUUCUUCCAAAAUUUCUUGGCUUAUUUCCGAUUCUAAAUAGAUACUUCGAUUACCAAUAAACUGUGAACACAAUUUGCCAACAUAAAGGCUACACUUUGGUCCUGAACGAGACUCUGAGGAUGAUGAUGAUGACAAUGCUGGUGACAGUGGAAAUGUUGAUGGUGAUGAUGGUGGUGAUAAAGUUGAUGAUGAAGGCAAAAUGGCUUUCGAUGAGCUACAAAUAACAAGAGGAAAAAGGAGAAACAUAUAUUAUAGUUAUAAUAUGGAAACUGUUUUUUGCUUUCAUUUGCAACCAUUUUCAUGGUGAAAAUGGAUAAAACAUCAAUUUGAUUGAGCGGAAACAUUUUAAAGUAAAAAAGAGAGAGAGAGGAAAAACAAGAAAAAUUGUUGCAAAUUUGUGAUUUGAAAAUAUUGUUGAGAAAAUUCGCUGUUCAAAAGUCUCCUGAAUUUUCACGAGCAGAGGAAAAAGUAGAUGAUUUGAAAUUAAUAGUAAACCUUUUCUUAUCAGAGGAACCAUUAAUCAUCUGGAAAACCUUUCAUAUUUUCCUCUCAUAAUCAAUUGUAAUAAUAUUCACGUAAACAUCCAAAACAGUAUUUCAAUGAUGAAUUAAUGUAAUCAUCAUCAGCAUCAUCAUCAUCUUGAUCGCUUUCAACAGGAACAAUUUAUAAUAAUUAACGGGACAACCUGAAUGCCAACCCUUGAUUAACAACCUCUAAUGAAAGUUACUUCAUCCAUUUUACUGUAUUUUAUGUAAUUAACUUUUGUUAUCAUUAACACUGAUUUAUGUUGGAUUAAAAGUGAUUAAAAGGUUUUCGCCUGAAUUAAAA